UUUUAUGAGAGUUUGAUCCUGGCUCAGGACGAACGCUGGCGGCGUGCCUAAUACAUGCAAGUCGAACGCUUCUUUUUCCACCGGAGCUUGCUCCACCGGAAAAAGAGGAGUGGCGAACGGGUGAGUAACACGUGGGUAACCUGCCCAUCAGAAGGGGAUAACACUUGGAAACAGGUGCUAAUACCGUAUAACAAUCGAAACCGCAUGGUUUUGAUUUGAAAGGCGCUUUCGGGUGUCGCUGAUGGAUGGACCCGCGGUGCAUUAGCUAGUUGGUGAGGUAACGGCUCACAAAGGCGACGAUGCAUAGCCGACCUGAGAGGGUGAUCGGCCACAUUGGGACUGAGACACGGCCCAAACUCCUACGGGAGGCAGCAGUAGGGAAUCUUCGGCAAUGGACGAAAGUCUGACCGAGCAACGCCGCGUGAGUGAAGAAGGUUUUCGGAUCGUAAAACUCUGUUGUUAGAGAAGAACAAGGAUGAGAGUAACUGUUCAUCCCUUGACGGUAUCUAACCAGAAAGCCACGGCUAACUACGUGCCAGCAGCCGCGGUAAUACGUAGGUGGCAAGCGUUGU
rnacentral:rRNA from 1 species